rnacentral:rRNA from 1 species
ACUCCUACGGGAGGCAGCAGUGGGAAUAUUGGACAAUGGGCGGAAGCCUGAUCCAGCAACGCCGCGUGAGGGAUGACGGCCUUCGGGUUGUAAACCUCUUUCAGCACCGACGAAGCGACUCUUUGGGAGUGACGGUAGGUGCAGAAGAAGGACCGGCCAACUACGUGCCAGCAGCCGCGGUAAUACGUAGGGUCCGAGCGUUGUCCGGAAUUAUUGGGCGUAAAGGGCUCGUAGGCGGUUUAGUCGCGUCGGGAGUGAAAACACUGGGCUUAAACUCAGUGCUUGCUUUCUGAUACGGGCAGACUGGAGGUAUGCAGGGAGAACGGAAUUCCUGGUGUAGCGGUGAAAUGCGCAGAUAUCAGGNGGAACACCGGUGGCGAAGGCGGUUCUCUGGGCAUUACCUGACGCUGAGGAGCGAAAGUGUGGGGAGCGAACAGGAUUAGAUACCCUGGUAGGCUCUGCU